rnacentral:lncRNA from 1 species
UUAGAGGGCUGUUUAAUCUUGCAGACCACAGCAUAACAGGAUCCGAUUGCUGGAAGUGUAGGUCAGCAAAGUUCAAACUGGAAAGAUGCACAUUUUUAACAGGGAACAUAACUAAUCGUGGGAACAGCUUCCCACAGAGCCAGACAGUUCUUCGUCUCUCGGAGCAAAAAUGAAGCAUCACUCUAAAAGGUUCUGCUCAGGUUCAACCACAAGUCUCUGGACUGGAGGUAGGAAUGGCUGGGUGAGGUUUUAUGGCCGGUGUUAUGUAGGAGGCGAUGGUGAGGUAGGUAUUCGUCUUUCAGAUAAAAAACCAGGACAGGGAGCUUAAGUGACUUUCCCAAGAUCACAGAGGCAAUCAGUGUCAGCAUGAGGACUUGAACUCUUCUUGUCCUAGUUCUUAGUCCUGGGCUCAACCCUGGCCUCCUCCUUAUUUGCUGCUGAGGCAACAGAGCUCCAAGGUUUCUUAACUGUUUCAUUCCAUCCACACACGACCCCUUGUAAAAUCCAAGCUAUGCAUACGCCCAAAUCGGACAUUCAGGGAACAUCUGUCCAGUUGAAAAUGGUUCUGAGGAUAUUUCUGUUUGUGGGAGACCUUUUUGAUUCUAACACCAGGUUAGAAGCACUUCAUGUCUAUUCUGUUGAAAGCACGUGGCUCCGAUUUUGACUCACAGUGCCAUGUCUAAUCAACCAGGCAUGCAGACCCACAGCUAAAGGCCGCCCUGCAUUUUGCUGCCGAGAACUAUUACAGAUCACUGGUCAGCUGGCCCUGCCUCAUCAGUGACUCAGUGAGAUUUCUGUUCUGUUCUGUUCAGUUCUCUCUCCAUCUGCUUGCAGCUCUGGGGUCUGAAGGUUAAUAAGAUCAGCUAUCCUGGGAAAGAAAGCAUAUGGUCACUGGGUCCCUCCAGGUCAUCUUGCCAGAAGGCUCAGGCACUUCACUGCUGCAGUGUUUUACCCACUGGUCUGAGCAUCCUCACAAGUUAUACCAGGUACCUUGUAACCAGGACAUCUCCCAGGGAUUCCAGUGGCAUGGGAGAUACAGCACGGAACACAUAGCCAUGAGUGAAGCAUCGCUAGUCUUUUGACCACGGCUUUCUUUUGCCAUGUCAAUAGCUGACGGCAAAUACCAUCGCCUGGGGCAUUUAAAACAAGACUAGAAAAGCCUUAAAGAACAGACUGCUUAGAACAGGCCUGCAUUGCCCCCAGGAUGCAUGGACCAUAGAUCAUCAACUUCUGAGGUCCUUCAGGGUAACAGCAACUCUCUGCAUGUUGCGUCCUAUACAGUACUGAAUGUGCUGCUGCUU